AAGACCUAUACAAUUUUUUUCCUUUUGAGUUUGUAGUGUUGUUUUUAUGUUUUUCUUUUCUUUUUUUUUUUGAUGAAUGCGUGCAUGUUUUAUUACUGUAUGUGUUCAGGACUUUGGUCCUGUGGGUGUUUAAAGUGCUCUAUAAAUAAAGAUGGUAUGGUAUGGUAUGGUAUGGUAUGGUAUGGUAUGGUAUGGUAUGGUGCUUUAUCAAGCCCCCAUGUCUGUCAUGGUGUCCAUCAAUGAUGGUGCUUCUGUACGUGACCAAGUGACAUAGUUACAAAGGGUAGGGUCAACAACAGUUAUAGCUGUUAUAAACAAAGACAGAAUCUCCACCACACUUCAGUCUCUGCCUUCAAGUGUCAACCUGAACCUGUUUUGUUAUAUUUUUUUCCAAUACUUUUUAAAGUAAAUCAGAAAAAGCUUUAGUUAAACAACAUUCUUUAAAGCUUAACAUUUUUUAAUUUGAUCACAAUGAAAACACUAAAGAACUCAAAACUAUAACCAGUUGUGGGUUCUUGUGGGUUCUUUGACAUAAUUUACAUUACUGUCUGCUUAGAUCAAAUCUACAUAAGAGCAUUGCAUUCACAAAAAAAUUACAUCCCUGAUCUCAUAAUUACGAGAUGUCAUUGCGCCUCUGUUUUAAGCCUUUCCUUCUCCUCCAUUAUCUAAUGGUUGAAAACUGCAGCCACUAAAUAACAUUUGUCAAUUCAUUUCCCUUUUUUAUUUUUCUAAUCUGACUCAGUGAAAUGUGAGUCAUUGUUUGAAACAAGACGUUGGGACAUGAGUGAGAAAUGUGGGACAAUUCAGGACUUACUGAUCAGUAAAAACAAAAACAAAAACAAAAAAACAGAGCAACAAGCUUUUAUUACCAGUUAAUAUAUCUGUAGGACUGUUUGCUCAUAAAGCUUUCAUCAUUUUGUCAUUCUCAAUCAUGUUCUCAACUAUUAACCUGACCUCACUGAACCUUUCCUCCUUUGUUCAAAGGCUGCCUUCAACAUUGGUCUGCCCUCUGGUGGUCACCUGAUGAACGGCAGCUUUUCCUUCUGUUUAUGUUAGAAUGAAGUGUUUGAAUUCUGGAAGUCAAGUUGUCAUAACAACAGAUUUAAUAAAAAUAAAUACAACUUGAUCAGAAUCAUACCAUCCUGACGUUCAGAACAAAACAGGUGAGUUUGAUAUAUAUCUUUUCUUUUUUUUUCUUGAACCAGUCAUUUGCAAAUUCACUAAAAUCUUUCUACAAUUCUUUACUAAAAUAUUUCCACAGUAUCUGUAAGAUUCAUUUUGUUUUUCAGGGUUAAUGCCAUUUUUACUUAUUAAUCAUACAUAGUUUAAAGGAAUUUGCCUGUCAUAUGUCAGAGUACUGUACUGAUGCAGCAUCUUUAGUAGCUAAAUUCCAACUAAUAGUGUCAAAAAGAAAUUAAAUAACAGUUAAUAUUUCAAUAAAUAAACAAUUGACUAAAUAUAAAAUAUGUUGGAGAAGAUAUUUUUCUACUUGUUUGAUUAAACUAUUUAUAAAAAUACAAACUCAAUAAAAAUGCUUUUUCUCUGAAAGAGAUACUGUAAACUGAAAGUAUCACAAGGUAGACAGAGCUAUAACAAAUUCUGAUUGGCUGAUUUGCUACAAAUGACCCUAAAYGACUUAGUGUUUAGCGUUAGCUUCCACUUUUUAAAAUCUGUUUAGUGUUAUCCGAGCUAAGGUUCUCGUUUAGUGGAUUAGUGGUUAGUGAAGCUAACUUUUUGGAUAGCUGUGUCCACCACUGGAUGUUUAUGUGAAAAUACUUUAUAAACUCUUUAACACCAUCAGUUUUGCACUGCACUGUUAUUCUGACAAAAAAAAUUGCUUCAAAACAAGAAAAAUAACCAGCAUGAAAAUGUUGCUCUUCUCUUGACACAACAGAUUUUACCUGCAAGCUUGAAAAUGUACACGGGCUCUGUGCCAGUUUCCCUCCUGCUGUUCCUCCAUCUCCUGGUCCCAGUCGACCUGGAGAAGGUGGAURAAGUACAGCUGGAGGUCAUCACUGACAGCUCUCCCUGCAGUGCAACCUGUGGGCUCGGGCUCAAAACUCAAACUCUCUGUUUGCUGCAAGACAGCAAGACAGCAAUGGAAGAAAAGGGAACAUCUCAACCCAACGUGUCAAAAGUGUGUCGAGGGCGGAAGGUAAAGUGUGUGGACUCGUGGCAGUGUGGACUCAGGACGAGGACGGUGACCUCAGGACAGAAGGUGGACAUUGACUGUUUGGAGCAGGUCAUGAAGGCCUUGGGGAAGUUCCCCUGGAGAGUGUCAUGGCGCUACGCUCGAGGAAUCAUCACCUCUGAUGACUCUCUCUUUGAACGCUGGCAGGCUCCUCAUCUGGACCGAGUGGUUCUGGACCCAGUUCAAGAGGAAGAUGCAGGAACGUAUCGGUGUGAUGUGCAGGACGCCAACUACCGCAGAGUAAAGAGGGUUUACUGGGGGCUCCGAGUUUUACCCAAAGGGGUCCUCAAUCUGGACCAUGAAAACGCUUUGACCCAGACAGAACAGGCUGAGGACCAUCAGGAUCAUCUGACCACUGGAAAAAUUCUUCUUUAUGCACCUUCAAGUUUGUGAAAAGAAAGCUCAAGGUCCAGAGAGUUUGAAGGAGAGCAUCCUCAAUUAACAGAUUAAUUUCAGAAGCCCUGUUGUUAUUGGACYAGAUACCCACCAGGUGUCAGCCACGUUCAAAGCGCAGAAGGAGUUCUACUGUCUGCUGACUGCCAUAAAGUGAGAUCCGUGAAGCUUCUUCAAGCAAGUCAGACCCUGAUACAGACUCUAUCCCGUGAUCUUAAGGUGAAUGACGAGUGAACUCUGUAAAUAUGGAUGACCAACAAGGUAGAAAUGGUUUAAAUUAAAUAAGAAAUGCUGUAGAGGAAUUGAGAGAGGUCCCCACUGCUGUUCAUUUAUCAGAAUACAUUAGAUCAAUACAAGAUGUAAUUCUUCGUAUAAAUCAGUCUCCACCUCAUCGAGAUAAAAGGGAAAAUGUAUUAAAUGAAAAUGUGCGAGGUGACUUCCUUCUCUCCUUAGAAGAGGCACUCAGAAACUUAAACAGACCAUCUCCAACCAACACCCCACAAAAUGAAAUGCUUUGCAAAAUUCUGCUCCUCCCCCUUCCUCACCUGUUGCAGAAAGUUUUGUAGAGGAUGCUCCUUUUCCCUCACCUGAUCCUGCAGAGCAGCAUGGUGGUAAUAUGGAGGUUGUAGCCGACCAUGAUCAUAAUCAGGGAGAACCACCUCCAGCAGUCUAAUGCGAGCGUUUCAAUAACCUAGAAAUAAGGCGAACUUUCAGAAUCCCGCCUCCAUGCCCGGGUGCUGUACCUGACCUCACUGCCUUCUAUACAGACGUCAUGUGUAUCCUCAUUGAACUAGCUGAGACGGCUGAGUCGUUAGCUGGGCGUAAUGAUGUAGUUGUGGAGUUAGUGGGAGGUACUGAUUCUUGUCAUGCAACUUUUCCUUUUACUAAYGAGGGUGAUGUAAUUCUGCCUGCAUUUGAAGAUUUUUUUAGAUGAGUUGGAGAGAUACCUUCUGGCAACAAUAUAGAAUUGAUUCUUCAGAUAGUGAGA